rnacentral:rRNA from 1 species
UGUUUAAGCGUGUAGGCUGGUUUUCCAGGCAAAUCCGGAAAAUCAAGGCUGAGGCGUGAUGACGAGGCACUACGGUGCUGAAGCAACAAAUGCCCUGCUUCCAGGAAAAGCCUCUAAGCAUCAGGUAACAUCAAAUCGUACCCCAAACCGACACAGGUGGUCAGGUAGAGAAUACCAAGGCGCUUGAGAGAACUCGGGCGAAGGAACUAGGCAAAAUGGUGCCGUAACUUCGGGAGAAGGCACGCUGAUAUGUAGGUGAAGCGACUUGCUCGUGGAGCUGAAAUCAGUCGAAGAUACCAGCUGGCUGCAACUGUUUAUUAAAAACACAGCACUGUGCAAACACGAAAGUGGACGUAUACGGUGUGACGCCUGCCCGGUGCCGGAAGGUUAAUUGAUGGGGUCAGCGCAAGCGAAGCUCUUGAUCGAAGCCCCGGUAAACGGCGGCCGUAACUAUAACGGUCCUAAGGUAGCGAAAUUCCUUGUCGGGUAAGUUCCGACCUGCACGAAUGGCGUAAUGAUGGCCAGGCUGUCUCCACCCGAGACUCAGUGAAAUUGAACUCGCUGUGAAGAUGCAGUGUACCCGCGGCAAGACGGAAAGACCCCGUGAACCUUUACUAUAGCUUGACACUGAACAUUGAGCCUUGAUGUGUAGGAUAGGUGGGAGGCUUUGAAGUGUGGACGCCAGUCUGCAUGGAGCCGACCUUGAAAUACCACCCUUUAAUGUUUGAUGUUCUAACGUGGACCCGUGAUCCGGGUUGCGGACAGUGUCUGGUGGGUAGUUUGACUGGGGCGGUCUCCUCCUAAAGAGUAACGGAGGAGCACGAAGGUUGGCUAAUCCUGGUCGGACAUCAGGAGGUUAGUGCAAUGGCAUAAGCCAGCUUGACUGCGAGCGUGACGGCGCGAGCAGGUGCGAAAGCAGGUCAUAGUGAUCCGGUGGUUCUGAAUGGAAGGGCCAUCGCUCAACGGAUAAAAGGUACUCCGGGGAUAACAGGCUGAUACCGCCCAAGAGUUCAUAUCGACGGCGGUGUUUGGCACCUCGAUGUCGGCUCAUCACAUCCUGGAGCUGAAGUAGGUCCCAAGGGUAUGGCUGUUCGCCAUUUAAAGUGGUACGCGAGCUGGGUUUAGAACGUCGUGAGACAGUUCGGUCCCUAUCUGCCGUGGGCGCUGGAGAACUGAGGGGGGCUGCUCCUAGUACGAGAGGACCGGAGUGGACGCAUCACUGGUGUUCGGGUUGUCAUGCCAAUGGCACUGCCCGGUAGCUAAAUGCGGAAGAGAUAAGUGCUGAAAGCAUCUAAGCACGAAACUUGCCCCGAGAUGAGUUCUCCCUGACUCCUUGAGAGUCCUGAAGGAACGUUGAAGACGACGACGUUGAUAGGCCGGGUGUGUAAGCGCAGCGAUGCGUUGAGCUAACCGGUACUAAUGAACCGUGAGGCUUAACCU